rnacentral:lncRNA from 1 species
UACACCUGACAGAGGGCCAGAGAUAAUUACAGACACCUGUGAUAAUCUGAAGUACCCAAAAGGGCCACUAGAUGUCUUGUGAUAUAUUCUGGGAGUUUACUAAUAAUUUCCAAUAAUAUACCGUCCCUUUGCAACCCUACUCCUGAAGUAUAGGAAAGCUACUUUAGGGUCUGUCGAUAUUUAUAUUCUAUUGCAGACUUAGUUUACCUUUAAUGCUCAUUACAUGUUCCCUUGUGGCUAAAACACCCUGUGGCUAAGAGACUUCCUCUAGCUGACGACGUCAAACUUCAAUCCCAUCGUAGACACAGAAGCAUGGUAUUUUUGAGGUGAAUGAAGACCUUCAGGUGCUCUAUAUGAAGGAGAAACCCCUUCCCUUUGAGACAAAAUCUAGAAGAGCAAAAAGCCUUUAUUGGAGGAUGCUUUUAUUGAUGGAAAGAAGAAAGCCUGUCUAUAUUCAUCAGAUUUCUGUCCGUUUUGAUGUGGGAAACCUUCCUUCCUAUGUUUAAUGUGACUGGUACUUCAGAGAAGAUCUUCAAGAUGUGAAGUCUUACACAAUGUAGCUUACUCAGAUGCAUGUGUGAGAUUGACAAUGUGAAGAAAACAGCAACUUUGAAUAUUACAAAAACAUACCAAGAGUAAAUGUAUUCAAAUGAAUUAAAACGUGUCUGUUGAUACUGUGGCUCACUGUGACCCGAAUUAAAAGCAUGACUUAGUUGGCUUAUGUAAAUAAAGUGAAAAAAG